rnacentral:rRNA from 1 species
UACGUAGGGGGCAAGCGUUGUCCGGAUUCAUUGGGCGUAAAGAGCGUGUAGGCGGCUCGGUAAGUCCGCUGUAAAAGUCAAAGGCUCAACCUUUGAAUGUCAGUGGAUACUGCCGGGCUAGAGUCCGGAAGAGGCGAGUGGAACUCCUGGUGUAGCGGUGGAAUGCGCAGAUAUCAGGAAGAACACCAACGGCGAAGGCAGCUCGCUGGGACGGUACUGACGCUGAGACGCGAAAGCGUGGGGAGCGAACAGG